rnacentral:rRNA from 1 species
AUUGAACGCUGGCGGCAGGCCUAACACAUGCAAGUCGAACGCUGAAGCCCUUUCGGGGGUGGAUGAGUGGCGAACGGGUGAGUAAAACGUGGGUUAUCUGCCCUGUGCUUCGGGAUAAGCCUUGGAAACGGGGUCUAAUACCGGACAGGAACUGUCCUCGCAUGGGGGUGGGUGGCAAGUUCCGGCGGUAUGGGAUGAGCCCGCGGCCUAUCAGCUUGUUGGUGAGGUGAUGGCCUACCAAGGCGACGACGGGUAGCCGGCCUGAGAGGGUGACCGGUCACACUGGGACUGAGACACGGCCCAGACUCCUACGGGAGGCAGCAGUGGGGAAUCUUGCGCAAUGGGCGAAAGCCUGACGCAGCAACGCCGCGUGGGGGAUGACGGCCUCCGGGUUGUAAACCUCUUUCGGUAUCGACGAAGGGGUCCUUGUUGGGGCUCUGACGGUAGGUGCAGAAGAAGCACCGGCUAACUACGUGCCAGCCGCCGCGGUAA